rnacentral:rRNA from 1 species
GACGAACGCUGGCGGCGUGCUUAACACAUGCAAGUCGAACGGAAAGGCCCUGCUUUUGUGGGGUGCUCGAGUGGCGAACGGGUGAGUAACACGUGAGUAACCUGCCCUUGACUUUGGGAUAACUUCAGGAAACUGGGGCUAAUACCGGAUAGGAGCUCCUGCUGCAUGGUGGGGGUUGGAAAGUUUCGGCGGUUGGGGAUGGACUCGCGGCUUAUCAGCUUGUUGGUGGGGUAGUGGCUUACCAAGGCUUUGACGGGUAGCCGGCCUGAGAGGGUGACCGGCCACAUUGGGACUGAGAUACGGCCCAGACUCCUACGGGAGGCAGCAGUGGGGAAUAUUGCACAAUGGGCGGAAGCCUGAUGAAGCAACGCCGCGUGCGGGAUGACGGCCUUCGGGUUGUAAACCGCUUUCGCCUGUGACGAAGCGUGAGUGACGGUAAUGGGUAAAGAAGCACCGGCUAACUACG